rnacentral:pre_miRNA from 11 species
GGUCUAGUGCUGUGUGGAAGACUAGUGAUUUUGUUGUUCUGAUAUACUAUGACAACAAGUCACAGCUUCCUCAUAGCGUGGACU